UACGUAGGGCGCAAGCGUUAUCCGGAAUUAUUGGGCGUAAAGAGCUCGUAGGCGGUUUGUCGCGUCUGCCCGUGAAAGUCCGGGGCUCAACUCCGGAUCUGCGGUGGGUACGGGCAGACUAGAGUGAUGUAGGGGAGACUGGAAUUCCUGGUGUAGCGGUGAAAUGCGCAGAUAUCAGGAGGAACACCGAUGGCGAAGGCAGGUCUCUGGGCCGAUACUGACGCUGAGUGAGCGAAAGCCAGGGGAGCAAACGGG
rnacentral:rRNA from 1 species